AUUGAACGCUGGCGGCAGGCCUAACACAUGCAAGUCGAGCGGAUGAAGGGAGCUUGCUCCUGGAUUCAGCGGCGGACGGGUGAGUAAUGCCUAGGAAUCUGCCUGGUAGUGGGGGAUAACGUCCGGAAACGGGCGCUAAUCCCGCAUACGUCCUGAGGGAGAAAGUGGGGGAUCUUCGGACCUCACGCUAUCAGAUGAGCCUAGGUCGGAUUAGCUAGUUGGUGGGGUAAAGGCCUACCAAGGCGACGAUCCGUAACUGGUCUGAGAGGAUGAUCAGUCACACUGGAACUGAGACACGGUCCAGACUCCUACGGGAGGCAGCAGUGGGGAAUAUUGGACAAUGGGCGAAAGCCUGAUCCAGCCAUGCCGCGUGUGUGAAGAAGGUCUUCGGAUUGUAAAGCACUUUAAGUUGGGAGGAAGGGCAGUAAGUUAAUACCUUGCUGUUUUGACGGUACCAACAGAAUAAGCACCGGCUAACUUCGUG
rnacentral:rRNA from 1 species